AUACUUACCUGGCAAGGGAGAUACCAUGAUCACGAAGGUGGUUUUCCUAGAGUGAGGCUUAUCCAUUGCACUCCAGAUGUGCUGACCCUUGCAAUUUCCCCAAAUGUGGGAAACUCGACUGCAUAAUUUGUGGUAGUGGGGGACUACAUUUGCGCUUUCCCCUA